CAAGCCGGUGGAAUGGGAACUUGGCAAAAGGACCUAACUACUGUUUUUAUCAGUUGUCACUGCAAGCCUAUUCCAUUUUCUGCUCUGUGAAAAGACUGACCUUUCAAUACAACACAGCACACAAGAUUGCAGUGGUUUAACUUACAGUCCUGUUUGUCUGCUGUUCCUGAUACAAAGAAUGCUUUCUUUUCCAUCCCAUCAGCUACAGGUUUAGACCAGGCCCUGGUUAUUGCUGUUGUGCACCAACAGCCACCUCCACGCCUGCAUAUAUUCCCACUUAGUGCUCUUCCUCAGACUUGAGUUCUUUUGGUUUUGUUUUGCUUUGCUUUGCUUUGUUUUUGUGUGUUUUACCCAAGGCUUUCAAAAGUGUGCCUUUAAAGGUAACUUUGAAAAUGUCAUUGGUCAAAAUUAAAGGAAAAUGUCAUCUGACCUUUUUCCCAUUUGACAUUUUCAUGGGCUUGGGACUUUUUCUUUAAUUUCUCAGCUCUCUGACACCAGUGGUGCUUUCUUUAUACACCGAGUAGUGAUCACAAAGCACUCAUUUUCUCAGCGGUUAGCCAGCAGUAUGCAAAUCAGACUUCCAGUCAAAUCCAGGGACUUGAGGACAUAAAUUUUAACUUUCAUCAUCAGUUCAAAGUUACACAUUUUGCCUGUGUAAUUCUCUCUGUACUUCCCAGAACAUGGAAAUGCCGAGGGCAUCGUUUUCACAACCAACCGUCUUGUUUCUUACGUUGCACUCUGCAAUGCUAAUGGAAAUCUUGCUUUUGGCUUCAUGAGGCUUUGACCAAGGCUUACAGCUCUGCCCUUUUCCUGUGUUCUUUACCCACCUUAGAGCUGUAGGUCUUAGCUUUCCUCCCUCCUGUUUCAUUUUCAGGUGUAAGUAGUUGUAUGUGAUGUACGUGUCUUCACCCUUCCCGUACGUUCUUCCUGUGGAAUUCCUUUCCCAGGGCAGGCGCAUGACCUUGACUUUCUUUCAGCUCCUUCCUCUUUUACCUGUCUUUCUUAGCGCACAUCUAGGCUCACUUGUACUCCCAGCUGCGGGCUCUUGAUAGAUGUGAAAUGCAUGCACUCUUCUCACGGGGCCUUGUGAGGAAGCGCCUCAGUUUUCUGGUUCACUUCAGGACUUCUUUCCAUGUGAACUAUUUGACCUACCCUUUCACUAUCCUCUUCAGGAAAAAUAGAUGAAUAAUAUUCUUCAAAUAUUCUGAAUUUGGGGUAUUAUCCUUCUACUGUUUUGCUGUAAGGGGAUUUAUUGAGAGGGAAGAGGAUCCACAAUGGAUGGCAGUGAAGGAUAUCGCUGCCUGACAGGUCAGUGGCAUCACCGUCACCAGGAGAUGGAGCUGGUCUUCUUCCAUCCGGACUGCUCAAAACGCUGCGGUCACAAAUGGGACAGUUUCUCUGUUCAGUUCUCCAUCUGCCUUUUCAGGCAGUGUGUGAGCUGCCUUUUGUUUCUUCCACGGAUCCACACCUCAUUGCCACCACUGCUGAUGUGAGCUCCCACUCCAACUAAAGCUCUUUUCUUGCUCUUUUUUUUUAAUUUCUCCUAGUCUCUGAGGCAGAGCCUGGUGGCACACUGUGCAGCAAGGGAGUAGACCCCGUGGCAUCCCCCACAGGAGGAGGGUGGGCAGCAAGGCCAGCUGGCUGCCGGUGAUGCCAUGUUGUGUGGAAGGCCGUGCGGCGUGGGCACACUGCCAUCUUGUGGGGCAGCGCCCUGAGGGGAAGGCCACACUGCUCUGUUAGCUGGAGAAACACCACCCGGAAAAAGGCUGUCCCAUCGCUUGAGCUCAGUUUGGCAGAUAGAGCAAAUGCUUAGAGAUCACUGUAACAUUUGCUCAGGGACAUGAUUUAGCAGAGGGUUGUUAGAGUUAGAGUAGUUUGGUUAGGUUGUGGUUGGAUUCGAUGAUCUUUAAGGUCUUUUCCAACCUGAGCAAUUCUAUGAUUCUAACAUUUUAUGUCAGGUGAACGCAUUUGUUUUUGGAAAUGGCUGCAGGCUUCUUACCCUCCAGUUAUUGCUACCUUUUAAAGUGCUUAUCCUUUCAGUUGUCCACCACGUGCUGUAUCAGUUUUGCUGCUCUUCAUACCACCUCUUUGUUAAGUACACGCUGAUUGCUAGUGAUAUGAAUAAUAUAUAUAUUAUAUAAAUAUAUAUAAAAUUCCUACUGACUUCAAGGAAAAUCUUUGAUUUCUGACUUAGAAGUGCUGUUGGAGACAGUCCUUUUCACCUGAUUUUCUUCAGUUCUUCUUGUGUUGUGUUCUUGUAAAGGUGGCUGUCAGUGUAUGGGGUAAGUCGUUCGGGGUUUCUUUUGCUUUUUUUUUUGUUGUUGUUGUUGUUGUUUUCAAAUUACUCAUAGCUGAUCCCUUGCAUCAUGCUGAACAGUGCAAGACCUAAGAGCUGUUCUAUUGAAUCCUGAAAGUCGUGAGACAAGUCUUGAGUCAAGAUUCGCUUCUCUGGGAGACUGAGGCUCUUUUUUUCCAAAUAAUUGGCAGAAAUGCAGACAGUCAUGAGACAUGUUGGAGUCUGGGAUGCACACAGAGCAAAACAUGUCUGUUGCUUGGGUUUUUUUGCUAUUUCUGUUGCUUACAUAUAGAAUAAAUCUAUUUACAUGCUGUAAGCCCAUCAUUGUGGACAGUCCUAAUGUCUUGUAUUGCUACCUAAAAUAGUUUCUUUUUGGUUCUCCUUUUCUUCUUGUUUUGGGGGUGGGGUGGUAUGGGGAAGGGGUGGGGGGGAACCUUUAGACUCUUGUAUGCUCUAGCCAAGUAGGUACCACAGCCCAGAGGUUAAUUUUAAACAAGAUGAUACUGUUGAGUUUUUGCUCCUGUGCCAAGGGAACUUUGUAAACUAUCUUCCUGAGUGUUCAGAAGUCUUUUCAGGUAUUGCUUGGGCUCUUGUCUGGCCCCAGAAUGACUAAUUGUUUGCAGGCUGGCUUGCUUAAUCAGGCAGUACAAAGAUAUGAGUGGGUUGUGAAUUAAAACCAAACCCUUGCCCCUCCUCCCAGAGGGGCUCCAACGAGGUAUUGACUUUGGGGUCACCACCAUAAUUCAUUCCUAGCUUGUAUGUGAAAGCUUGAGUUUAUAAACUGAGCUACAUGGCAGACUUUCAAAUGCUGAAGGAUGCAUCUCUGACAUUCUUUGAGGUGGGAUUUUCACAGUAAUACAAAGUGUGUGUAUAUACAUACAUACAUACACACACGUACUCAGAAAAGAGAAAGGAAAUCUAGCGUGGGAGGCUUUUAGCUCUUACGUUAGUCAUAGGCAUCCUCUUACAACCAACUUUUGCUUGGGAAGGUGAAGGUGAAAGUGAAAAUUCAGUGCUGUACCAUCACUGCAAGGUCAGAUGAUAGGCAGCACUGCAAGAGCCAACAGUUGUUUAAAAACUGAUGCAGAAGUAGAGUUGGGCUUGAACCAAAUCCACAGAAUUGAGCUCUCAAGUUUAGUAGGUCAAGCUCCUUGCUUGAAAGAGAAUCAUUCCAUUUGUUUACCUACUUGUUCUUUAUUUAAGCUUGGCACAUGCUCCCUGAAUUCUGAAAAUCCCUUUAUCUGAAAGUCCUUUGAUAAGCGCUGACUGUAUAAAAAAGCAGUGAUAACUCAGAGUUCCCACUAACCUCUAUCACUGAAUAGGUAUCCCACAUUUUCUGUGAUGCUAGUUAAGUAUAUUUAAUAGUGCUUGAGUCUCUUUGACCAUUAUCAAAGAAAUUAAUGGCUGUGUGUACCACACCCUGGGUCUGGCCUUUUCUCCAAGAGCAUCCUGUAGACAUAGCAAGCACAUAGCUUCUGGAUGGCCUGAAGAAGCGGAAUGUCACCUAUGAUCUCUCAGGGACAUCCUACAGCAGUAGGGUGCCCCUCAGAGGCUUGCAUGCUGGUCUCCAGCUGCCAGCUUGCAGCUGGUAGGACAAUAGCCCAUAGAUGAGAAAAGCUUGCACAGCCUCUUUGGUUGCUGCCAGCUGGCUCUUGCUACAACUUGUCAUUAUAUUUAAGAGCUUAAACAACAAGAAUAAAAGCAAAAUCAGCCUGGAAAGUAAAUAAAAUUAGAAAGAAUGAGACACAAAACAGUCUUCUCUCAUCAAUCUUACAGGUCUGCUUUGCAAAAAGCAGUGCCCAAAGAGUGAGCCAAUACUGUACGUCAAAGCAGAGUGCAUAACACAGUUGAGAAGUCAUGGCAUAACCAUUUUGGCAUAUCUGUGUGGUCAACUUAUUUGGUAACAUAUGUUCUGUUCGUUAAUGUCCAAGAGAGAAAAUGCAAAGGCUGUACCUUUAUAAAGUAUGAACUACUUCACUUACUUUUGUACCUUCAUAAAGUGUCAAAGGAGGGGCCCAUUUCUUAUGGGCCCUGUGUGAUCCAGGCCGAGGAGAUGUAUAAUGUUCCUUCCUCCUGUUCACAAUUCUCACCUUUGCAGCUCUGCCAGAGUUUGUGGGAUUUGUUUUCUUUGCUAUUCAGACAUGGAGAAGUAUUUUGGUUUUGACUUCCCUAUUGCUGUAUCUUCUAUGCAACUCCUUUUCUAAAGACUUACUACCGGAGAAGUGCUAGCCAUUGCAUUAUUUGUAUUGCUGUACAGUGGAGGUGUGGUUUACUAGUUCUGAGUGUGCCUCUUACCCCCCUCCCUUUUUUUCCUUCCCUCUGUUUGUAAAUGCCUGCAUUUAUUCUGUCAGCCUGACAUGUACAAAGUGUAAGAAAGAAUUUUUAAACAGGUAAUAAAUUAUAUUUAUAAGCAAC
ensembl:lncRNA